GAGUCAUGCUUCCAAGAAAAGCCCUAUACCCGUUAAGGCAUCAUGGCCUGUACCCGAAACCGACACAGGUGGGGUGGUAGAGAAUACCGAGGGGCGCGAGGUAACUCUCUCUAAGGAACUCGGCAAAAUGGCCCCGUAACUUCGGGAGAAGGGGUGCCACCGCAAGGUGGUCGCAGUGAGGAGGCCCAGGCGACUGUUUACCAAAAACACAGGUCUCCGCUAAGUCGCAAGACGAUGUAUGGGGGCUGACGCCUGCCCAGUGCCGGAAGGUUAAGGAAGCUGGUCAGCGCAAGUGAAGCUAGCGACUGAAGCCCCGGUGAACGGCGGCCGUAACUAUAACGGUCCUAAGGUAGCGAAAUUCCUUGUCGGGUAAGUUCCGACCCGCACGAAAGGCGUAACGAUCUGGGCGCUGUCUCGGAGAGAGGCUCGGCGAAAUAGAAUUGUCUGUGAAGAUGCGGACUACGUGCACCCGGACAGAAAGACCCUAUGAAGCUUUACUGUAGCUUGGUAUUGUGCCCGGGCUCGCAAUGCGCAGGAUAGGUGGGAGGCUUUGAUCAUCGGCUUGCGGGUCGAUGUGAGCCAACGGUGAGAUACCACUCUUUGCGAGCUAGGGUUCUAACGGCCACCCGUCAUCCGGGGGCCGGACAGUACCUGGUGGGCAGUUUGACUGGGGCGGUCGCCUCCUAAAAGGUAACGGAGGCGCGCAAAGGUUUGCUCAGGCUGGUUGGAAAUCAGCCGACGAGUGUAAAAGCAGAAGCAAGCUUGACUGUGAGACCAACAAGUCGAACAGGGAGGAAACUCGGCUUUAGUGAUCCGACGGUUCUGAGUGGAAGGGCCGUCGCUCAACGGAUAAAAGUUACUCUAAGGAUAACAGGCUGAUCUCCCCCAAGAGUUCACAUCGACGGGGAGGUUUGGCACCUCGAUGUCGGCUCAUCGCAACCUGGGGCUGAAGUCGGUCCCAAGGGUUGGGCUGUUCGCCCAUUAAAGCGGUACGCGAGCUGGGUUCAGAACGUCGUGAGACAGUUCGGUCCAUAUCCGGUGCACGCGCAGGAAUAUUGAGAGGAUUUCUCCCUAGUACGAGAGGACCGGGAGGAACGCACCUCUGGUGUACCAGUUAUCGUGCCAACGGUAAACGCUGGGUAGCCAUGUGCGGAGUGGAUAACCGCUGAAAGCAUCUAAGUGGGAAGCCCACCUCAAGAUGAGUAUUCCCAUGGCGUAAGCCAGUAAGGUCACGGGAAGAACACCCGUUGAUAGGCUCUAUGUGGAAGCGCAGUAAUGCGUGAAGCAGAGGAGUACUAAUAGACCGAGGGCUUGACCU
rnacentral:rRNA from 1 species